rnacentral:lncRNA from 1 species
GGUGGCAGAGAAGGAGGCAGUCAAUAAGAUGUCCCUGCACAACCUUGCCACUGUCUUUGGCCCCAUGCUGCUCCGGCCCUCCGAGAAGGAGAGCAAGCUCCCUGCCAACCCCGGCCAGCCCAUCACCAUGACUGACAGCUGGUCCUUGGAGGUCAUGUCCCAGGUCGAGGUGCUGCUGUACUUCUUGCGGCUGGAGGCCGUCCCUGCCCCGGACAGCAAGGGACAGAGCAUCCUGUUCUCCACCGAUGUCUAA